rnacentral:rRNA from 1 species
AACCUAUGCAGGGGAAUAACCUCGGGAAACUGAGUAUAAUGCCCCAUAGUCCACUACGCCUGGAACGGUGAGUGGAUCAAAGCUCAGGCGGCAUAGGAUGGGCCUGCGGCGUAUCAGGUUGUAGGGGGUGUAAAGUACCCUCUAGCCAUCUACGCGUACGGGUGUUGGGAGACAUAGCCCAGAGAUGGAUUCUGAGACACGAAUCCAGACCCUACGGGGUGCAGCAGGCGCGAAAACUUGACAAUGCGAGCAAUCGUGAUCAGGGAACUCCAAGUGGCUGGGGUAAGACCCAGUCUUUUCAUAACUCUUCAAAGGUUGUAGAAUAAGGGGUGGGUAAGGACGGUGCCAGCCGCCGCGGUAAUACCGGCGCCUCAAGUGGUAGUCGCUUUUAUUGGGCCUAAAACGUCCGUAGCCGGUUUGGUCCAUUCGUGGGUAAAUCAACUCGCUCAACGAGUUGAAUUCUGCGAGGACGGCCAGACUUGGGACCGGGAGAGGUGUGGGGUACUCUCAGGGUAGGGGUAAAAUCCUGUCAUCCUGAGAGGACCACCUGUUGCGAAGGCGCCACACUAGAACGGAUCCGACGGUCAGGGACGAAGCCUAGGGGCACGAACCGGAUUAGAUACCCGGGUAGUCCUAGGUGUAAACGCUGUGGACUUGAUGUUGGAGAAGCUCCGAGCUUCUU